CUCAGGCCUACAAGUAAACACAGCUAGCCUCUUGCCACUUAUUUCCAGUUUUUUGUCAGCAAGUAGGAGAUGGUCGCUUCGCCCAGCACGACGCCCUUGUUCCUCGCAGGGCCGGCGGCCGGCGACCGUGUCUAAUUCCUUCUCUCAUCUCAGGCGGCCGGCGAUCGUGGCUAAUUCGUUCUCUCUUCUCCGGCGGCUGGCCUACUGCGACAACCCAGCAGUACGCCCCGGCGACCGGUGACCGGCGCGGCUAAUUCUUCUCCGGCCUUCCCUCAUCUACGGCGGCUGGCCCAACACGCCAAUCAUCCUCUGAGCAUUCCCCAUCGGAUUGGUACUGGAUCUAAGUCUGAAGGUUUGCUGGUGGCAGUAAAGACAUGUGAAGGUUUCAUAAACAAAGACUACUGCAGGAUGUUUGGAGUUGUAGUGGUGCACUGAUACGUUCUUCAGCUUGUACUCGAGUUAUGUCCGAUAUAUGAACGUGAGAUUUACUAUGACUGUUAAUGGCUAAUGAGUUAGUGAUGUGUCUGUUGUAACGAAAGACCCUAGCAUAAUGCGGUUAACUACUGUACGUGUCUAUGUUGUAACAAAACUCCCUAGCAUAAUGUGGCUAUCAUGCCCUAACUACUGUACAUGUUGUUGAAGUAUGCAGUACUGCAAGUGAAUUCUGG
rnacentral:rRNA from 1 species